rnacentral:rRNA from 1 species
UUGGUGACCAGCGGAGGGAUCAUUACCGAGUUUACAACUCCCAAACCCAAUGUGAACGUUACCAAACUGUUGCCUCGGCGGGGUCACGCCCCGGGUGCGUCGCAGCCCCGGAACCAGGCGCCCGCCGGAGGAACCAACCAAACUCUUUCUGUAGUCCCCUCGCGGACGUAUUUCUUUACAGCUCUGAGCAAAAAUUCAAAAUGAAUCAAAACUUUCAACAACGGAUCUCUUGGUUCUGGCAUCGAUGAAGAACGCAGCGAAAUGCGAUAAGUAAUGUGAAUUGCAGAAUUCAGUGAAUCAUCGAAUCUUUGAACGCACAUUGCGCCCGCCAGUAUUCUGGCGGGCAUGCCUGUCCGAGCGUCAUUUCAACCCUCGAACCCCUCCGGGGGAUCGGCGUUGGGGAUCGGGACCCCUCACACGGGUGCCGGCCCCUAAAUACAGUGGCGGUCUCGCCGCAGCCUCUCCUGCGCAGUAGUUUGCACAACUCGCACCGGGAGCGCGGCGCGUCCACGUCCGUAAAACACCCAACUUUCUGAAAUGUUGACCUCGGAUCAGGUAGGAAUACCCGCUGAACUUAAGCAUAUCAAUAAG